rnacentral:rRNA from 1 species
GAUGAACGCUGGCGGCGUGCCUAAUACAUGCAAGUCGAGCGAACAGACGAGGAGCUUGCUCCUCUGACGUUAGCGGCGGACGGGUGAGUAACACGUGGAUAACCUACCUAUAAGACUGGGAUAACUUCGGGAAACCGGAGCUAAUACCGGAUAAUAUAUUGAACCGCAUGGUUCAAUAGUGAAAGACGGUUUUGCUGUCACUUAUAGAUGGAUCCGCGCCGCAUUAGCUAGUUGGUAAGGUAACGGCUUACCAAGGCAACGAUGCGUAGCCGACCUGAGAGGGUGAUCGGCCACACUGGAACUGAGACACGGUCCAGACUCCUACGGGAGGCAGCAGUAGGGAAUCUUCCGCAAUGGGCGAAAGCCUGACGGAGCAACGCCGCGUGAGUGACGAAGGUCUUCGGAUCGUAAAACUCUGUUAUUAGGGAGGAACAGCUGUGUAAGUAACUAUGCACGUCUUGACGGUACCUAAUCAGAAAGCCACGGCUAACUACGUG